GAUUAACGCUGGCGGCGUGCAUAACACAUGCAAGUCGAACGAUGAAACUUUAAUGAACCCUUCGGGGAGAAUUAAAGCGGAUUAGUGGCGAACGGGUGAGUAACGCGUGAGUAACCUGCCUUACACAAGGGGAUAGCCUUUGGAAACGAAGAAUAAUACCCUAUAAAACCAUAAAAGCACAUGCAAUUAUGGUCAAAGUGAUAGCGGUGUAAGAUGGACUUGCGUCUGAUUAGCUAGUUGGUGAGAUAAAAGCCCACCAAGGCAACGAUCAGUAGCCGGCUUGAGAGAGUGUACGGCCACAUUGGGACUGCGACACGGCCCAGACUCCUACGGGAGGCAGCAGUGGGGAAUUUUGCACAAUGGGGGAAACCCUGAUGCAGCGACGCCGCGUGAUUUAGAAGGCCUUCGGGUUGUAAAAAUCUUUUGUAUAGGAAGAAAAUGACAGUACUAUACGAAUAAGGUCCGGCUAAUUACGUG
rnacentral:rRNA from 1 species